rnacentral:rRNA from 1 species
GACGAACGCUGGCGGCGUGCCUAAUACAUGCAAGUAGAACGCUGAAGAGAGGAGCUUGCUCUUCUUGGAUGAGUUGCGAACGGGUGAGUAACGCGUAGGUAACCUGCCUUGUAGCGGGGGAUAACUAUUGGAAACGAUAGCUAAUACCGCAUAACAAUGGAUGACACAUGUCAUUUAUUUGAAAGGGGCAAUUGCUCCACUACAAGAUGGACCUGCGUUGUAUUAGCUAGUAGGUGAGGUAAUGGCUCACCUAGGCGACGGUACAUAGCCGACCUGAGAGGGUGAACGGCCCCCCUUGGACUUGAACACCGCCCAGACUCCUUCGGGGAGCAGCAGUAGGGAAUCUUCGGCCAUGGGGGCAACCCUGACCGAGCAACGCCGCGUGAGUGAAGAAGGUUUUCGGAUCGUUAAGCUCUGUUGUAAGUCAAGAACGGGUGUGAGAGUGGAAAGUUCACACUGUGACGGUAGCUUACCAGAAAGGGACGGCUAACUACGUG